GUGACAGAGUGAGACCCUGUCUCAAAACAACAAAAAAGUAGCAGCUAACAUCAACUGACCUUUUACCAGGUGCCUAUUGAUACCAUAGUUUAAUUUCUUAUAACUGUUUCUUAUUUCACUUACCAACUCUGUCUUCAGUUACUCCCAGAUUUUUACUGUGUGUGUACAGAUGACCUUUUGUUUAGAUUGAAUUGUCUCCCCAGAAGUAAGAUUACUGUGAGUCAUGGUGAAUGGACAUUCUCCUUACCCUUGAUGUAAAUUGACAGGGUUUUGGGUGCCUCCCAGCUAUAAUCUUAGCACUUUGGGAGGCUAAGAGAGGAGGAUUGCUUGAGGCCAAGAGUUGGAGGAGGCAGUAUGGCAGUAUGGUGAGACCCUGUCUCCAUUAUUUUAAAAAAUUGACAGGCCCAGCCUCUGCCUCCCGUCAGCCUCUACAGUCCCAACGUCUGCCUCACAGCAGAUUCUUCACGCCCAGCAUCUACCUCACUGUGGACCCCCCAAGCCAAGCUCCCAACCUUUCAGCAGCUUCUACACACCCAGCUCCUGCCACCCAGUGGCCUCUUUAGGCCAAGCUCAUGCUUCACAAGGGCCUUUCCAGGCCCAACUUUUG
rnacentral:lncRNA from 1 species